rnacentral:rRNA from 1 species
UACGUAGGGUGCGAGCGUUGUCCGGAAUUAUUGGGCGUAAAGAGCUCGUAGGCGGUUUGUCGCGUCUAUCGUGAAAACUGGAGGCUUAACUUUCAGCGCGCGGUGGAUACGGGCAGACUUGAGUUCGGUAGGGGAGACUGGAAUUCCUGGUGUAGCGGUGAAAUGCGCAGAUAUCGGGAGGAACACCAGUGGCGAAGGCGACUACCUGGCCUGUUCUUGACGCUGAGGCGCGAAAGCUAGGGGAGCAAACGGG